GACGAACGCUGGCGGCGUGCUUAACACAUGCAAGUCGUACGGUAAGGCCCUUUCGGGGGUACACGAGUGGCGAACGGGUGAGUAACACGUGAGUAACCUGCCCACAACUUUGGGAUAACGCUAGGAAACUGGUGCUAAUACUGGAUAUGUGCUCCUGCUGCAUGGUGGGGGUUGGAAAGCUCCGGCGGUUGUGGAUGGACUCGCGGCCUAUCAGCUUGUUGGUGGGGUAGUGGCCUACCAAGGCGGCGACGGGUAGCCGGCCUGAGAGGGUGACCGGCCACAUUGGGACUGAGAUACGGCCCAGACUCCUACUGGAGGCAGCAGUGGGGAAUAUUGCACAAUGGGCGCAAGCCUGAUGCAGCAACGCCGCGUGCGGGAUGACGGCCUUCGGGUUGUAAACCGCUUUCAGCAGGGACGAAGCUUUUUGUGACGGUACCUGCAGAAGAAGCACCGGCUAACUACGUG
rnacentral:rRNA from 1 species